rnacentral:rRNA from 1 species
GGACGAACGCUGGCGGCGUGCUUAACACAUGCAAGUCGAACGGAAAGGCCCUGCUUUUGUGGGGUCCUCGAGUGGCGAACGGGUGAGUAACCCGUGAGUAACCUGCCUUUGACUUUGGGAUAACUUCAGGAAACUGGGGCUAAUCCCGGAUAGGACCUCCGGCUGCUUGGUGGGGGUUGGAAGGUUUCGGGGGUUGGGGUUGGACUCGCGGCUUAUCAGCUUGUUGGUGGGGUAGUGGCUUACCAAGGCUUUGACGGGUAGCCGGCCUGAGAGGGUGACCGGCCACAUUGGGACUGAGAUACGGCCCAGACUCCUACGGGAGGCAGCAGUGGGGAAUAUUGCACAAUGGGCGGAAGCCUGAUGCAGCAACGCCGCGUGCGGGAUGACGGCCUUCGGGUUGUAAACCGCUUUCGCCUGUGACGAAGCGUGAGUGACGGUAAUGGGUAAAGAAGCACCGGCUAACUACGUG